rnacentral:rRNA from 1 species
UGGGGAAUAUUGCGCAAUGGGCGAAAGCCUGACGCAGCGACGCCGCGUGGGUGAUGAAGGCCUUCGGGUCGUAAAGCCCUGUCGCCGGGGAAGAACAAGCAUCGGGAUAAUACCCCGGUACCCUUACGGUACCCUGCAAGAAAGCACCGGCUAACUCCGUGCCAGCAGCCGCGGUAAUACGGAGGGUGCGAGCGUUGUUCGGAAUUACUGGGCGUAAAGGGCGCGUAGGCGGCUUACCAAGUCAGGCGUGAAAUUCCCGGGCUCAACCUGGGGGCUGCGCUUGAUACUGGUGAGCUUGAAUGCGGGAGAGGAUAGUGGAAUUCCCAGUGUAGAGGUGAAAUUCGUAGAUAUUGGGAAGAACACCGGUGGCGAAGGCGGCUAUCUGGCCCGUUAUUGACGCUGAGGCGCGAAAGCGUGGGGAGCAAA